UACGUAGGGUCCGAGCGUUGUCCGGAAUUAUUGGGCGUAAAGAGCUCGUAGGCGGUUUGUCGCGUCGGCCGUGAAAACUUGGGGCUUAACCCCAAGCCUGCGGUCGAUACGGGCAGACUUGAGUUCGGCAGGGGAGACUGGAAUUCCUGGUGUAGCGGUGAAAUGCGCAGAUAUCAGGAGGAACACCGGUGGCGAAGGCGGGUCUCUGGGCCGAUACUGACGCUGAGGAGCGAAAGCGUGGGGAGCGAACAGG
rnacentral:rRNA from 1 species